ACAAAAGUAGUUUACUUAAAAUAUUAGCUUGUCAAGCUGAAGAGGGUAGUUUAUUCUGUUCUUUUGUG
rnacentral:tRNA from 1 species